UACAUCCAGUGCAGCUGAGUCAAACAAACGUGAGGUUCAUUAUGAACAUAAACCACAGCCUCCAGCGUCUUGGAAGGAUCUGUCCUUGGGCAAGCGGCUUGCAGAAUCUCCUCGUCCCAGCAAGCCCCUCCUACUUUGGUGUAUUGUUGGUGCCCCGGCAAGCUUGGUUAGCGUGACUCGCAUGCACAAUUGGUGAGCAAGAGCAACUGAAGAAAUGGCAGACGUGAGCACAGAAGAGCUGGGGUCACGCGCACUCUGAUGGAACCUGACUCCUGGGCUCUCCGUUAGGGACAGCGCAAGGAGAGGGUCAGCUGCUCUCAGUGGGAGGUCUCCAAGAUGAGCAAUCUCUGUCUAAACGUCCUGGAGGAUGGAGCUGCAGCCGCCAGUGUUUGUACACACCGGUCAUUCACAAAUGCUCAUACUUGGACUGAAGUCUUUGCCACUUCUGAGCCUGGCCCAGGGAAAGGCUUUGCCAAUCUUCCAUGGAUCCAAGGCCUUGGGGUUCUUGACAUGGCCUUGCCCAUAUCAACAAUACACACUUCCCAAUCCCUGAGACCGCAGCUGCUCCUUGAGACACAGACUCCACCAGCUCCAAUUGGCCCUAGUUGUGGGCCAGCAGGGAAGACUCCUAUAGGCAGGCCUGGCCACCCCCCACCCCACUCAGACCCUGUAAUCUACAAGUCCCACUCUGUUCCCCAAACCCACUCAUUCCCCAAGACCCCAGCGGCCCCCUGAGACACAGACACCAGCCAGCGCCGAUUGGACCAAGAGCGGCCCCCUGAGACACAGACACCGCUUACACCAGUUGGAGGAAGAGAUGGGUAGACUCCAGUGCAAGAAUACGUUCAACAGCAUAAAGAGCAUUAUGGCCCCACAGAACCUUGUUCUGUUGUGGUUCUCAACAGCAAGACCUGAGCAUCCCAACAUAGAAGAAGCAGAAGAAAAGGACCUUAAAAACAGCUUUAUGACGAUGAUAGAGACCUAUAAAGAGGAAAUAAAAAAUCCCCUUAAACAAUACACACUUCCCAUCAGCUAUGAACCGCCAACUGCUUCUGAGGGACUGGUGGGGCCCUGUGAGCCCCUCCCCAUGCGCGCUAGCUUAUCCUGUGCGGAUGACCAUAGCUGCCGUGAGUUUGUGGGCACAACAGCUAUGCCAUGUCCAGAAGAGAGCACUUCCCAGCAGCCCUCUCGAUCCCUCAGCUCUUACAUUCUUUCUACUCCCUGGUCCACCGUGUUCCCUGAGCCUUGGAGCGGGAGACACAGGACUCAACCAUCACUUCCUCUCAGCACUUUAAACCAGUUACACGUCUCUGCAUUGACCGCUGCCCACUGCAAACUGAGGCUUCUCUGACUAUUCUGAGAGCCGCACUGGUCUAUGAAUAUAAACGUAGAUCUCCAGAGCGCAGAGCAAUAACGGCUAGAUCACGGCUCUGAACCCCGGCAUCCCUCACACAGUGCUUACAAGACGCACCACACAAGCCACCUGGCAGGCAUAGCUCUCGGGAGGGGUUCUUGGCGCAUAGGUUCCUCGGCCUCUUGUUUCCUAAUAGGGAGAGCCAGGUCCAGGAAGCAGCAGCUGGUUGGGUCCCAGGCUAUGUUGUAGGUCCUUAUCCCACCUGGCCUGAGGUCCCUGCAGCAUUGCAGGUCAGAGGGGACCAGGCAGCACUGGGUCAAGUGCCAGUAAAACCUUGUACCAGAGAGCCUGGGGGCAGAGGGACGUAGGCGGCGGCUCCUCCACCCCUCCUGGCGGUCUCUUGCAGUCUUGGCUGGCAGGCAUGAGAUGGAGCCUGCUCUCAUCGCCUGGGGAGCAAUGGGUGCGGUAACAGUUCUUUCUUCCUGCCGUGGAUCCUGAUCUGGCUGCUCUGCCUGCUCCCUCGAAGUUGGCCCUAACUAACCACGCCUUUACCGGCCACAGCUUUCCCUCAGCCACAGAGCCACACGUGGCCAGGAAAAUCCUCACAAAAAGGCACUGGCGGCAUCCUGGCAAGAGUGAGACUACAGGAGGGGACCUCACAUUCGGUGCACCCACUCACCCAUCCCUACUUUUAACUAGAUGCUGUGUGGCCCCCCUAGAGGGAGUGGUAGACAGAAAGAUGUGACCCUGGACACCCGACACCCUCGCAGAGUUCACAGUUCUGUGUGAUUGUGUGUGCCCAGGCAUGCACGGGUGCAGACAACAACAAGGUACAAAGGAUUUGUCAUGUUGUCGGUGGUGGGAGACAGAAGCAAUAGAGCCUAGAUCAGAGAAAAGAGGGAUGGGGGAAGACGGCAGCGAGAGACGGAAAGGAGAAAUGGAGGAAACAUCCCUGGAGUGUUACAGAGUGCAUGAGUGAUAAGGGCCCUGAGAGGGCACUGGGAAGCCACAGCACGCCACUCGAAGAGGCCCCUACUGGGUGUGCACUUUAGGAAGUCACUUGGCCCGUAGGGUGGCAGGUCACUUGUGGCAAGGGCAGAGGCUGCUGUUGCGGAAGGUCUGGCCUCUUCUCACUGCCGAACAGCCUUGGUUCCGGCACAGGUCUGUCGUCUCACACGGCCACAAUUACUCCUUUGUGGGAUAGCUGGAAAAGGCUGGCCGUGCACAUCCUGGCCUGGCACACUGUGUGGGACAUAGAGAGCGAGCAUUGCCCUGUGGCUGCCCUUGGCUCUGUCCUGGGCUCCCUGUUCCUGCACCCUCCAUGAUGUCCUGGUAGGGACGGGGACAGGCCCCUCCCCGGCCACGCCACCAGCAGGAGCUGCCAGCUCUUCUCUCCGAUAAUCGCUUCCAACUCGGGCCUGAGUGUUGGUGACAGCAGCUCUCUGAUUUCCUGUGACAGUGGCCGUUCUUUGCAGAGGCCCCUACUCGCCAGCCCCCCUGGGAGCUGAGCCCCACCCGUUCUCACAGAAGGAUGUCUUUAAUAGCCACUGGGACACCAGCUGAUGCACUGGCCAUGAACUUCCCCUGGUCCAAGUGCAGAGCUCAAAAGACAAAGGGGACCUCAGAGCCCAUGGCCGCGUCCCUGGCCCCAUGUCCUCUUCCCAGGCCCUCCCGGGCCCCGGCCCCUUUGUUUAGGGUUCAAGAGCAUGGACUGCCAAGAUUCUGACGGAAGCGCUCGCUGGUCAACAUCUUAAUAGCUAGACAAGAAGGAAAAAAACAGGGCACCGAGGACGGGGACCGCAUGGGGUGCAAUUAACUCCUCAUUCCACAGUCCUAGGACAGGGUGAGGCAGGAAUACAGGGUGCUGCAAAGAGACUAUUUUGAAAUGUCCACCUACUUGGGGUCACCUGGAACCCCUACAGUGGACUCUGGUUGGGAAGUGUAUCACCAGCCUCUAGACCAGCAAUUGAUUUUCAACCUGUGGGUCGUGAUCCCUUUCGGGGUUCAGAAAACCUAAGACCAUCCAAAAACAUCGAUAUUUACAUUACAAUUCAUAGCAGUAGCAAAAUGACAGUUAUGAAGUAUCAACAAAAAUAAUUUUAUGGUUGGGAUUACCACAGAGUGAGAAACUGUAUUAAAGGGUCAUAGCAUUAGGAAGGUUGAAAACCACUGUUCUAGAAACAUCCUGGGAACUUGGAACUCCAGAUUAGGAGGCUGGGACACAGGAGUUCACUUCUCCAGGAAAUAGUGCCAACCUUGAUUUUGCUGUCCAAGGAGACCUCGGGUGCAUUUGCUUGCUCAUCCUGUCCUUCAUCCGGGCUUCUCUGACAGCUGGUCUUAAUCCACCUAAGGCUUCUGCUCUGGGUAAAGGCCAGGGUGUUGCUCACAGAGGCCCAAGGCUUAGGUUCUGACUGAGAGAAUCCAGGUGAGGGAUGCCAAGAAGCUGGUUGGCUACCUCUAGAGUGAUUGCUUUUGUGUCAGAAGGUUAUGGCUUGAAGUCUUCUCCUAUCAUAGGCCUGAUAGUGAAGACCAGCCUGGGUUAAUGUGGGCCAGCCUGGGUUAAUGUGGACCAGCCUGAGUUAACAUGCAUUCCUGAUUUGCCAUUCAUCUGUCAUCUGGAGACCGUGACAGUGGCAGCCAUUGUUGUCAUUAGACAUGGCGGAUGCUUUGGACAGCUUAUUUCAGGGUCCUGUAAUAAAGUCAACUGACUUCUCAUCCUCCCCACCAGAGGAGCCUCAGCCCUCCCAAGUUCACUGACCACAGUUCCGGGAAGUGCACAGCCUCAUCCUCCAAGACUGGGAGGCUUACAGUAGGUGUCCACCUCUGCUGCACACAGUAUGAUUGCUGGAAAUGCAUGGGGCAGGAUGAUUUGACCCUGGGCCUCUUUGAGAUACACCCCACUGUCAGCUCUCUGGAAUGGGGUUCUGCCUCUUCCAUCCCCACAUCAAUGGCAUGGCUCUGGGGCCUGGUUGGCACGUUGAGCCUCAGGUCAGAGCAGAGUUCUGUGUUCCCAGCCUGUGGAAGCCACAGGAACUGGCCAGCACAUUGGACACCACCCAGUUUCAAAGCUUCCCAGCUCAAUGGAGCCAGCUGACCAUGUUCCCACGGGACUGUAUCUUUCCCACGGCCACGCAGGCUCCAGGCCAGCCCCAUGUAGUCCUGUCUGUGAAUAUCCCACUCUGGGAGGUAGUAAGGGGGUGAGGUCAGAGCCAGGGUCCAGGACUCAGGGAGAUCCAGGCUUGGCUCUAAAAAGCUUUGCUGUUGGACAAAUGCCUUCCCUGCUUAGCUACAUCUUCAGAGACAUUGGGGUUACUAGUGUCUGCCAUAGGCCUUUCCACAGGGGUGCUGGGCAAGGUGCUUCCGGCAGCCCCAACUCCUGUGUCCUGCAGGAAGAGACAUCCACAGCACCCUUGCUCAGUCAGUUCCUGUACUCUGGAGACCACAAAGACAGCCAAUACACCAGCCAACCACACAGUGCUUCUGUCGGGGGAGGUCAAUAAGAGACUCCUGACCCUCCUCUUGGUGAACUAGGCUGGAGAAAUCACUUUGGACCAAGUGUGUGAGUGCCACUUGAAGUGAAGAGACCAAAAAUGCUUGUGGAGAAAGCAGCACUGGCCUCCCCUGCUGCUGUGUCAACAGAAGAGCAAAGAAGAACAAGUCGCUCUCUCAGUUAGUCUUUCUUGUUGAUACAGACUACAUAGCUACGUAGCCCAGGUUAGCCUCAAACUCCUCCUUCCCUAGCUUCAGCCUGCCAUGCAGUUCAGGUUACAAGUGUGCCACAGCAUGCCUAGCUACCCCUACAAAACUAUUACUUGUGUGUCUCUGGGGUGUUCAUACCCGUUCUCAUUGGUAUGUGCAUGCUGUGUGGGGUAUAUGCAUGUGGUGCACACAUGCAUGUGGAGGUCAGAGGUCAACAUUGGGCCUCUUCCUCAGACACUCCUCACCUAUUUUUUGAGACAGAGUCUCUUGCCAAUCUGGCUAGGUUGGUUGGCUGGCAAGCCACAGGGAUCCUCCUGUCUCCACCUCUGAGUACUGGGGUUACAGGUGUGCCCUGACAUGGCUACACUUUUGUCUGCUUGCUGAAGAUCUGAACUCAGGACCUCAUGCUUUUAUUUUCUCAACUGAGCCAUCUCCUAGUCCUCAAGACACACUGUUAUUAUGUAAAAAGUUUGUAGAUAAUAAAUUCUAAAAUUAAAAAAAAAACAACAGGCAAAUGUGAUACAAAUUCCAGAUCAUUUGGAGGCUUGGAAAUGUAGAUCUUCUCACUGCCAAAGAAAGCAGAGCCUUGCCUUGGAGCAGCAGGCUUGGAGCAAGCAUGAUGUGAUGCUUGAAGUAGUCAGGGGACCGGUAAGCCCCACACAGUGAGCUCGAGAACAAAGUUACCCACAAAUCACUCACAUUUAUUUUAUUUUGGAUAAAAGAGUGUUCCUCGGAGUGUCUUGCCCACUUGUUUUAGGUCAAAAGGUGACAUGCACAGUCAACACAAAGGUGAGGGUGUUUUGAGAAGCUUUUAAUAGCCAGGGCUCCAAAGAGACAUUUAUACACACAUCUACAGUUUCUCCAUAUACACAUGUGUAUACCUCCCUGUGCACACUUAUCCACAGAUGGAAAGAGGCUACUGUGAGACACUCCCCAUGUGACAAUGAGGUCAAGAAUUCCCACUGCUGCCAUUGGCUAGCAGCAAUUCUAAGAGAGUGAUGGUCACACUCCAGCCCAAGCUUAAAGGCCAGAGGCCCAGGGUGUCCCACACCCAGGAGUAGAAGUUGCAUGCCCCAGCUCCGGAUGGAGGAGCCAGCUGGUCCUUCCUGUGUUUCCACGUGCUCAGAUCCUCACAAACUGGGUGGUGCCCACUGAUACUGGUGAAGGUAGAUCACCUUUACUCUGUCUGCCAUCUUCUAUAAACAUCCUCCCAGAAACACCCAGGAAUAGAACUUAGCCACCUCGGUGGGCAGCCCACAGCCCAGUCACACUGACACAGAGCUAACUGCCUUCCAGGCACAGCCUGAGUGAAGUCAGUUUAAGGGAUAUUUAAGAGAGCUCAGGCCACAGAUGGCCUGAGGUGUCCUUAAGUCUUACAAUGCAGCAAAGAAAGAGACCCAGCAGAGGUUUCCUUAAACUUGAAAGCAAUCCCCAAAGCACCUUAGAUUACCAGCAAAGAACUGAAAAUUUCAAGUAAGUCCUUGUCGGAUGAUAAAAAUCGAAAGCCAAUUUCCAUCAACCAUAUUAUCCAGUGUUCCAAACUAUCCUCUUAACCUUGUAUAAAAAAGGAUGCUAAAUCCUUUUUUGCUAGUCCUCUGCACCCAUGUCAAUGAUAGACAGACAGUGGAUCCCACUUGUCAUCCUGAUGCUUGGGAGGUGGAGAUCGAAUCCCCAGAGAAAGCUGGCCAGCUGAACUAGUCAUAUUGGCCUGCUCUGGGUUCAAGUGAGAGACUCUGCCUCAAAGAGCAAAGUGGAGAGCCAUGAGAAGACACUGGGCAUCAGCCACUGACUUCCUCGUGCACACGGCCACCAACACAUGCACCACCAGAAGUAAUAAAGAGAGCAACAGUAUUGCCACGAUUAACAGUAUUACUCUCUUAGCCCUCCUCCCCAUCUGUGACAUCGUUUACUCCCAAAUUUUGGUGGAUUGGAUGGGAAAUGUCCCCCAUGGGCUCAGGUGUUUGAACACCUGGUCCCUAGUUGAUGAUGCUGUUUGGGGAGAUUUGGGAGGGGCAGCCUUGUUGGAGGAAACAAGUCACUAGGGGCGGGCUUUUGGAGUUUAAAGCCUUGAACCACUUCCAAGUUCAUCUCUGCUUCCUGCUUGUGGUUGGGUAUGAGAGCCCUCAGCUGCCUGCCCCUGGCUGCCAAGCCUCUGCUCCACAAUUCCUCUGGAGCCAUAAGACAAAAUAAACCCCCUCUUCUUUGA